CAAGGAGGCGUCGACCAUGCCGUCCGUUUCCACCACGCCAUGUUCGCCUGCGCAAGGCCAGCCAAGAAAGCGAUUUUGGGUAGACGAAGAUUAGUGUUUCUCGAGAGAGGUUGCCAGUGCCGACCCUUUUGAAAACCCCGCAGUACUUGGGACAAUUUGCCGCGCGACCGCCCCAUUCGUGCCGUCAAAGAGCGAGUCGACCUGCCCGCCAGAUACUUUAGACAACAGGACGCAGUCCACCUCAAUGGCCAGUCUGCUUCAGAUUUGCUGCUGUCCGUGCACGACAGUGAGUGUACACAGCCAUCAGCUGCAGAAAUGGAUGUUCGGGACCCUACUCCGGGCGACAGCUGCAUGAGCAGGCCGACUCAAGAAGGAACAGCCAUUCAAUCACAGAUAUGCAAAGAAUCGGAGGCCUCCAGGUUAUGGGGCUUCAACGUUUGAGAAGAAGAGCGGAGCAUGAGUUCAUUUUCUGCCAGAGAGAAAUGGAACUCCAGCAGGAAAGGCUGGACAAUGACGAAAGGGGCUUGGCCUUAGAACACAAGCAGGCGUCGAUAGAAGGGAGGCAGAAACGUGACGCUCAGUGCCAUGAGGAGUAUAUAAACAAUGCUUCACAGCA